rnacentral:rRNA from 1 species
GAUGAACGCUGGCGGCGUGCUUAACACAUGCAAGUCGAACGAUCAAGCCCAGCUUGCUGUUGGUAUUAGUGGCAAACGGGUGUGUAACCCGUUAAUAACCUCCCCUUUACUCUGGGAUAAGCCUGGGAAUCUGGAUCUAAUACCGUAGAUAAGCGUCCACCGUAUGGUGUGUGUUGGAAAGAUUGAUCGGUUUUGGAUGGACUUGGGGUACCUAAGCUUGUUGGGGAGGAUAUGGCUCACCAAGGGGACGCCGGAUAGCCGGCCUGAGAGGGUGACCGGCCACACUGGGACUCGGGAAGGGCCAAGACUGCUACGGGAGGCAGGAGUGGGGGAUAUUGCACACAGGGCGGAAGCCGGAUGCAGGGACGCCGGGUGGGGGAUGACUGCCUUUGGGGUGUAAACCUCGUUAGGGAGGGAAGAACGGAAAGUGACGGUACCUGCAGAGGAAGCGCCGGCUAACUACGUG